rnacentral:rRNA from 1 species
AUUGAACGCUGGCGGCAGGCCUAACACAUGCAAGUCGAGCGGAUGAGUGGAGCUUGCUCCAUGAUUCAGCGGCGGACGGGUGAGUAAUGCCUAGGAAUCUGCCUGGUAGUGGGGGACAACGUUUCGAAAGGAACGCUAAUACCGCAUACGUCCUACGGGAGAAAGCAGGGGACCUUCGGGCCUUGCGCUAUCAGAUGAGCCUAGGUCGGAUUAGCUAGUAGGUGAGGUAAUGGUUCACCUAGGCGACGAUCCGUAACUGGUCUGAGAGGAUGAUCCGUCACACUGAAACUGAGACACGGUCCAGGCUCCUACGGGAGGCAGCAGUGGGGAAUAUUGGACAAGGGGCGAAAGCCUGAUCCAGCCAUGCCGCGUGUGUGAAGAAGGUCUUCGGAUUGUAAAGCACUUUAAGUUGGGAGGAAGGGCAGUAAGUUAAUACCUUGCUGUUUUGACGUUACCAACAGAAUAAGCACCGGCUAACUUCGUGCCAGCCGCCGCCGUAAAAC